rnacentral:pre_miRNA from 1 species
ACGUCGAAGUGGCUGUGAAAUGUAUUCACUUUACCAUAUCACAGCUAUCUUUGACGUGU